GAUUUGGCUGUUGUGGUGUGCAAAACUUUGUACAUUGCUUUUUGCCACACUGCAACACUUUACAGA
rfam:Struthio camelus australis contig48283, whole genome shotgun sequence.